AUGCUUAAAAUUGAUCUUGCCAAAGCCUUUGAUCGUCUAGAAUGGAAAUUCAUUAUUGGCGCUUUGGCACAUAAAGGGCUACACAAUCAUUUCAUCCUCAUUUAUGCCUGCAUUUCUACUCCAGUCUUUUCCGUUAUCAUAAAUGGCCAAGAAUAUGCUAAAUUCAAAAGUAGUAGAGGCAUAAGACAAGGUUGUCCACUCUCUCCAUAUCUCUUUGUCCUUGCAAUUAAUGAAUUAUCUGUCUCCUUGCAGGAAGCUAUGAGACAUAACCAUCUUUCAGGUAUUUCCCUUGGACCAAACUGCCCCCCUAUCCACUCUCUCAUGUUUGCGGAUGAUCUUCUUGUUUGUGGCCAAGCUACACUCCAAGAAGCCACUAUUAUGAGUCAACUCAUUCAAUCUUUUUGU
rnacentral:rRNA from 1 species